rnacentral:rRNA from 1 species
AUGGCUCAGGAUGAACGCUAGCGACAGGCCUAACACAUGCAAGUCGAGGGGCAGCACAAGGAGCAAUCUGAGGUGGCGACCGGCGCACGGGUGAGUAACACGUAUGCAACCUGCCUGUAAGCGGGGAAUAACCCGUUGAAAGACGGACUAAUACCGCAUAAUACUAAAUUACUGCAUGGUAAUUUAUUUAAACAUUUAUGGCUUACAGAUGGGCAUGCGCAUGGUUAGCUAGUUGGAGAGGUAACGGCUCCCCAAGGCAACGAUCAUUAGGGGUUCUGAGAGGAAGGUCCCCCACACUGGUACUGAGACACGGACCAGACUCCUACGGGAGGCAGCAGUGAGGAAUAUUGGUCAAUGGACGAGAGUCUGAACCAGCCAAGUCGCGUGCAGGAAGAAUGUCCUAUGGAUUGUAAACUGCUUUUGCAGGGGAAUAAAGUGCAUCACGUGUGAUGUUUUGUAUGUACUCUGCGAAUAAGGAUCGGCUAACUCCGUGCCAGCCGCCGC